UACGUAGGGGGCAAGCGUUGUCCGGAUUUAUUGGGCGUAAAGAGCGUGUAGGCGGCCAAACAGGUCCACUGUGAAAACUCGAGGCUCAACCUCGAGAGGUCGGUGGAAACCGUGUGGCUAGAGUCCGGAAGAGGAGAGUGGAAUUCCCGGGUGUAGCGGUGAAAUGCGCAGAUAUCGGGAAGAACACCCGUGGCGAAGGCGGCUCUCUGGGACGGUACUGACGCUGAGA
rnacentral:rRNA from 1 species